rnacentral:tRNA from 1 species
GCCGAAGUAGUUCAGUGGUAGAACGCUUUCUUGGUAAGAAAGAGGCCAUGGGUUCAAUUCCCAUCUUCGGCU